rnacentral:rRNA from 1 species
CAGUCGCCACGGUAAAACGUAGGGUGCGAGCGUUAAUCGGAAUUACUGGGCGUAAAGCGUGCGCAGGCGGUUUGUUAAGACAGAUGUGAAAUCCCCGGGCUCAACCUGGGAACUGCAUUUGUGACUGGCAAGCUAGAGUGUGGCAGAGGGGGGUGGAAUUCCGCGUGUAGCAGUGAAAUGCGUAGAUAUGCGGAGGAACACCGAUGGCGAAGGCAGCCCCCUGGGCCAACACUGACGCUCAUGCACGAAAGCGUGGGGAGCAAACAGGAUUAGAUACCCCCGUAGUCCCUGUCUCUUAUAC